rnacentral:lncRNA from 1 species
GGGCCAGUAGUACCUUUGUUAGAGCAGUUCGCGUGCUAAAGUUCUACUUCCAAUGCGGCUGCCACAAAUGCCCUCGUGGACCUUGCGAAGCGUAUAAUCAGCUUCUGAGGGUCUAAGGCAUUUAAGUGACGACAUCAAGAAUGACUUCUUAUACAGCUGUCCGUCAAGUAGGACGUACUGUAGAGCUUGGUGUUUAACCUCUCGAGCUUCUUUCUCAUCGGCUGGGGUGGUUCCUUUGCUCAAGUAAUUCACCAGGGGGUCCAACCAGCUCAGCUCUUCAUCGAUUUGAUUGACAUCGAUUGUCUUCUCAAUGCUUGAGAUGUUCAGAUGUUCGACAUUUAUCCUUCAUCCUAG